rnacentral:rRNA from 1 species
ACGGGGCCGCACAAGCGGUGGAGCAUGUGGUUUAAUUCGUAAGCAACGCGAAGAACCUUACAGGUCUUGACAUCCCGAUGCUAUUUCUAGAGAUAGAAAGUUACUUCGGUACAUCGGUGACAGGUGGUGCAUGGUUGUCGUCAGCUCGUGUCGUGAGAUGUUGGGUUAAGUCCCGCAACGAGCGCAACCCCUACGUUUAGUUGCUAACGCGUGAAGGCGAGCACUCUAGACGAACUGCCGUUGACAAAACGGAGGAAGGUGGGGAUGACGUCAAAUCAUCAUGCCCCUUAUGUUCUGGGCUACACACGUGCUACAAUGGCCGGUACAGACGGACGCAAAGCCGCGAGGUGGAGCAAAUCCUAAAAAGCCGGUCUCAGUUCGGAUUGCAGGCUGCAAUUCGCCUGCAUGAAGUCGGAAUCGCUAGUAAUCGCAGGUCAGCAUACUGCGGUGAAUACGUUCCCGGGCCUU